rnacentral:rRNA from 1 species
GACGUAGGGCGCGAGCGUUGUCCGGAUUUAUUGGGCGUAAAGAGCGUGUAGGCGGCCAAGCAGGUCCGCUGUGAAAACUCGAGGCUCAACCUCGAGACGUCGGUGGAAACCGUUUGGCUAGAGUCCGGAAGAGGAGAGUGGAAUUCCCGGUGUAGCGGUGAAAUGCGCAGAUAUCAGGAGGAACACCGGUGGCGAAGGCGGGUCUCUGGGCCGAUACUGACGCUGAGGAGCGAAAGCGUGGGGAGCGAACAGG